rnacentral:sRNA from 1 species
UGCCGUCGAUGGUAAACAUGUUGGAAU